UACGAAGGGGGCUAGCGUUGCUCGGAAUCACUGGGCGUAAAGCGCACGUAGGCGGCUUUCUAAGUCAGGGGUGAAAUCCUGGAGCUCAACUCCAGAACUGCCUUUGAUACUGGAGAGCUAGAGUCCGGAAGAGGUGAGUGGAACUGCGAGUGUAGAGGUGAAAUUCGUAGAUAUUCGCAAGAACACCAGAGGCGAAGGCGGCGCACUGGCCCGAAACUGACGCUGAGGCACGAAAGCGUGGGGAGCAAACAGG
rnacentral:rRNA from 1 species